GAUGAACGCUGGCGGCGUGCCUAAUACAUGCAAGUCGAGCGAACAGACGAGGAGCUUGCUCCUCUGACGUUAGCGGCGGACGGGUGAGUAACACGUGGAUAACCUACCUAUAAGACUGGGAUAACUUCGGGAAACCGGAGCUAAUACCGGAUAAUAUAUUGAACCGCAUGGUUCAAUAGUGAAAGACGGUUUUGCUGUCACUUAUAGAUGGAUCCGCGCCGCAUUAGCUAGUUGGUAAGGUAACGGCUUACCAAGGCGACGAUGCGUAGCCGACCUGAGAGGGUGAUCGGCCACACUAGAACUGAGACACGGUCCAGACUCCUACGGGAGGCAGCAGUAGGGAAUCUUCCGCAAUGGGCGAAAGCCUGACGGAGCAACGUCGCGUGAGUGAUGAAGGUCUUCGGAUCGUAAAACUCUGUUAUUAGGGAAGAACAAAUGUGUAAGUAACUAUGCACGUCUUGACGGUACCUAAUCAGAAAGCCACGGCUAACUACGUG
rnacentral:rRNA from 1 species